rnacentral:rRNA from 1 species
AAAUUGAAGAGUUUGAUCAUGGCUCAGAUUGAACGCUGGCGGCAGGCCUAACACAUGCAAGUCGAGCGGUAGCACAGAGAGCUUGCUCUCGGGUGACGAGCGGCGGACGGGUGAGUAAUGUCUGGGAAACUGCCUGAUGGAGGGGGAUAACUACUGGAAACGGUAGCUAAUACCGCAUAACGUCGCAAGACCAAAGUGGGGGACCUUCGGGCCUCAUGCCAUCAGAUGUGCCCAGAUGGGAUUAGCUGGUAGGUGGGGUAACGGCUCACCUAGGCGACGAUCCCUAGCUGGUCUGAGAGGAUGACCAGCCACACUGGAACUGAGACACGGUCCAGACUCCUACGGGAGGCAGCAGUGGGGAAUAUUGCACAAUGGGCGCAAGCCUGAUGCAGCCAUGCCGCGUGUGUGAAGAAGGCCUUCGGGUUGUAAAGCACUUUCAGCGGGGAGGAAGGCGGUGAGGUUAAUAACCU